UAAAAAUUUAUGAUUUUAAAAGUUUAUUUUUAAUUUAUUUUACAUAUAAAUUUUAGUAUUAAUUUUUUAUUAUUUUAAUAAUAAUAAUAAUGUUUUUAUAGUAAAUAAUUUUAAAAAUUUAAGAAAUUAAGAUUUAGUAAUAUUAAAAUUAAUAACAAAUUUUGUGCCAGCAGUUGCGGUUAUACAAAAAUUAAUAUAAAUUUUUUUUAGUUAUAAUUAAUUUAUAUUUAUAAUAAAUUAAAUUUUAAAUUAUUAAGUGAAAUUUUAAUUUAAUUAAAAUUUAUUUUUAUAAAAUGAUUUUUAAUAAAUUUAUUAAUAGACUAGGAUUAGAUACCCUAUUAUUAUAAAUUUAAAUUUAAAUACUAAAAUAUUAAAUAUAUUUAUUAUUGAAACUUAAAUAAUUUGGCGGUAUUUUAGUUCAUUUAGAGGAAUCUGUUUAAUAAUUGAUAAUCCACGAAUAAAUUUACUUAGUUUUAUAUUUUGUAUAUCGUUGUUAAAAAAAUAUUUUUAAAUAAAAAUAAUAUUUUAAUAUUAUUAUAAAAAUUAGUUCAGAUCAAGAUGCAGAUUAUAAUUAAGAAUAUAAUGGAUUACAUUAAAUUUAUUUAGAUGAAUAUUAUUUUGAAAAUUUUAAUUGAAGGUGGAUUUAAAUGUAAUUUUAUUUAGUUUAAUAAAAUGAUUAUAAAUUAAAAUAUGUACAUAUUGCCCGUCGCUUUCAUUUAAAAAUUGGAAUAAGUCGUAACAAAGUAGAAGUACUGGAAAGUGUUUCUAGAAAGAA
rnacentral:ncRNA from 1 species